rnacentral:rRNA from 2 species
GGUUAGGCCGGGAACUCAAAGGAGACUGCCAGUGAUAAACUGGAGGAAGGUGGGGAUGACGUCAAGUCAUCAUGGCCCUUACGACCAGGGCUACACACGUGCUACAAUGGCGCAUACAAAGAGAAGCGACCUCGCGAGAGCAAGCGGACCUCAUAAAGUGCGUCGUAGUCCGGAUUGGAGUCUGCAACUCGACUCCAUGAAGUCGGAAUCGCUAGUAAUCGUGGAUCAGAAUGCCACGGUGAAUACGUUCCCGGGCCUUGUACACACCGCCCGUCACACCAUGGGAGUGGGUUGCAAAAGAAGUAGGUAGCUUAACCUUCGGGAGGGCGCUUACCACUUUGUGAUUCAUGACUGGGGUGAAGUCGUAACAAGGUAACCGUAGGGGAACCUGCGGUUGGA